UACAGAGGUCUCAAGCGUUGUUCGGAUUCAUUGGGCGUAAAGGGUGCGUAGGUGGCGGGGCAAGUCUGGUGUGAAAUCCCGGGGCUCAACCCUGGAACUGCACUGGAUACUGAGGAUCUUGAGUUCGGGAGAGGUGAGUGGAACUGCGAGUGUAGAGGUGAAAUUCGUAGAUAUUCGCAAGAACACCAGUGGCGAAGGCGAGUCCCUGGACAACACCUGACACUGAGGCACGAAAGCUAGGGGAGCAAACAGG
rnacentral:rRNA from 1 species